UGUUCCUUUUAUCCCUGGUCUCCAUCCCUCUACUGAUUCAAAUCAGAGAAGAUUAGCAUGGCCCUUGCGCAAGGGUGACACGCAAAUUCGUGAAGCGUUCCAUAUUAAA